CCUACGGGUGGCAGCAGUGGGGAAUAUUGCACAAUGGGGGAAACCCUGAUGCAGCAACGCCGCGUGAGUGAAGAAGUCUUUCGGUAUGUAAACCUCUAUCAGCAGGGAAGAACAUGACACUACCUGACUCAGAAGCGCCGGCUAACUACGUGCCAGCAGCCGCGGUAAUACGGAGGGGGCAAGCGUGAUCCGGAUUUACUGGGUGUAAAGGGAGCGUAGACGGCUGCGCAAGUCAGAAGUGAAAGCCCGGGGCUCAACCGCGGGACGGCAUUUGAAACUGUGUAGCUAGAGUGUAGGAGAGGUAGGUGGAAUUCCUAGUGUAGCGGUGAAAUGCGUAGAUAUUAGGAGGAACACCGGUGGCGAAGGCGGCUUACUGGACGGUAACUGACGGUGAGGCUCGAAAGCGUGGGGAGCAAACAGGAUUAGAUACCCCAGUAGUC
rnacentral:rRNA from 1 species